CUCUCCGUAGCUCAGUUGGUAGAGCAAUUGACUCUUAAUCAAUGGGUCAUAGGUUCGAGUCCUAUCGGGGAGA
rnacentral:tRNA from 1 species